rnacentral:rRNA from 1 species
AUUGAACGCUGGCGGCAGGCCUAACACAUGCAAGUCGAACGGUAACAGGGAUCAGCUUGCUGAUUCGCUGACGAGUGGCGGACGGGUGAGUAAUGUCUGGGAAACUGCCUGAUGGAGGGGGAUAACUACUGGAAACGGUAGCUAAUACCGCAUAACGUCGCAAGACCAAAGAGGGGGACCUUCGGGCCUCUUGCCAUCGGAUGUGCCCAGAUGGGAUUAGCUAGUAGGUGGGGUAACGGCUUACCUAGGCGACGAUCCCUAGCUGGUCUGGGAGGAUGGCCGGGCACACCGGAACUGAGAAACGGUCCCGACUCCCAAGGGAGGCAGCAGGAGGGAAUUUUCCGACAUGGGGGAAAGCCUGACGGAGCACCGCCGGGGGAGUGAAGAAGGGCUUCGGGUUUUAAAACUCUUUUAUGGGGGGAGAAAGAGUGUAAAAUUAACUAUGUACGUCUUGACGGUACCCAAUAAGAAAGCCACGGCCAACUACGUG